GAUGAACGCUGGCGGCGUGCCUAAUACAUGCAAGUCGAGCGAACAGACGAGGAGCUUGCUCCUCUGACGUUAGCGGCGGACGGGUGAGUAACACGUGGAUAACCUACCUAUAAGACUGGGAUAACUUCGGGAAACCGGAGCUAAUACCGGAUACAUGUUGAACCACAUGGUUCAACAGUGAAAGACGGUCUUGCUGUCACUUAUAGAUGGAUCCGCGCCGCAUUAGCUAGUUGGUAAGGUAACGGCUUACCAAGGCAACGAUGCGUAGCCGACCUGAGAGGGUGAUCGGCCACACUGGAACUGAGACACGGUCCAGACUCCUACGGGAGGCAGCAGUAGGGAAUCUUCCGCAAAGGGCGAAAGCUUGACGGAGCAACGCCGCGUGAGUGAAGAAGGUCUUCGGAUCGUAAAACUCUGUUAUUAGGGAAGAACAAAUGUGUAAGUAACUAUGCACGUCUUGACGGUACCUAAUCAGAAAGCCACGGCUAACUACGUG
rnacentral:rRNA from 1 species